AGACCCAUAAUUAUAUACAACGUUAAUCUAAGAGAAGAAAAAAAAGAAAAAAAGGAAAUAAAAGGACGAAACUUGACACUUCGACACAGCAGAGAGAGAGAGAGAGAGAGAGAGAGAUACUUCAAAUUUUAGAGAGAGAAAGUAAGAAGGGUUUUGGAAACUGCAAAGAGGAGAACAAAUCUUUCUAUUCGCUGCGGAUUUUUGGAAAGAUCUUUCUGCUUCCAUCAUCUGCUGCUUUGUUGUAUUAUCAAUUAUUACUAUAUAUAUAUAUAUAUUGAAGUGUAAGUAACAACACUUCCCUGUGUGGCUUUCUGCGUGUUUCCAUAUAUAUAUAUAAUUAUACAUACACGAGAAGGAGAGGUUUGUGCUGAGGAGAGAAUAAGGCAAAGCGUUGGCUUUGCGAUAUAAUUGUUGCGUUAGAUCUGUUUAAGGCAAGGAUGAGUACCGGCAGGGGAAGCGGCGCCGGCAAUGGCGGCGGUGUGCAACUCAUUCCGGCGGGGUCGCGGAAGAUGGUGCAGAGCUUGAAGGAGAUAGUUGGCUGUUCCGAAGCGGAGAUCUAUGCCGCUCUUAAGGACUGCAAUAUGGACCCAAACGAGGCGGUUAAUCGUCUCCUCUGUCAAGAUCCUUUCCAUGAGGUGAAGAGUAAGCGGGAAAAGAAGAAAGAGGGUAAAGAUACCACUGAGUCUAGGUCUCGUGGUGCUAGUAAUAACUCAAGUCGAGGCGGCAAGAGUGGUGCUGAUAGAUACCAUGGCCGUGGUGCUCCAACAUCAUAUACGUCUUCUGAGUAUUCUGGAAGGCCGUCAUCUAAGAAAGAAAAUGGAUCAACUCCUUAUGCAAGUUCUUCGUCUUCAGUGCCUGUUACGGCAGCAAAUAAUAGAAGCAGAGGACCUAUAGGCGUAAGUGAUGGUGGCGUUGCUGAAAAUAAAGGCACCGCUGAUGCUAUCCCAGCUGUCGUACCGCCUGCUGCUGGAUAUCAACCUGCCUGGGUGCUUGCUCCUGGUCAGGUGUCCAUGGUUGACAUUGUGAAGAAGGGCAUACCACGUAAUAAUGCACCCAAUGCAUCUCACCACAAUGUUAGGGGUUCUUCAGCAAGUGCGUCGCAUCAUAGUUCAAGAGUAUCUUCAGAUCCUCAGCCAGUCAAGGAGGAGUGGCCUUCCAUAGAGAAGUCCGUUCCUACAAAAGUGACUGCUGUUCCAGAGUAUUCUGUGGACUCAGAGCAGCAUUUAGAGAAACCUGGUCUACCUUCUGACAGCAUUAAUCGAUAUUCUGAGGAAGAAGAGGUUCAUGAAACAGAAGAAGAUAUCAUCGAAACUGGAGCUAAUGACGUGGGAUCUGAUUCUACCUCUAGUAGGAAGAUUCAAGAGGAUGAUUCAAGGGCCCCAUCUAUGUUUGAGAAUGAUUUGUAUGAAAACAUAGGUUCUUACCAUCGUCAGGCUCAUGAUUUCCAUGAAGUUGAAGAAGUUGGUUCUCCAGUUUCUUCGGUCACCAGAAACUUGCAACAACUAAGUGUAGAGAAUGAAGAAGGAGGAUUGCCCUCUGACGGAUACACGCCUUGUGUAGUAAUUCCGGAUCACUUGCAAGUUCAAAAUGCAGAUUGCUCACACUUGAGCUUCGGUAGUUUUGGAUCGGGCAUGAGUGCUGCAUAUUCCGGUACUACAACAUCUGCGCCUGUAGAAACUAUCUGGAAGAGCCGCUACCGAGGCAGAUAUUUCAUCAGCUGGGCAUCUGGACACUAGAAGUUCUGAAUAUUACGUUGAUGAUUCUCUAAGAAACACUGCUGAUGGUGGUUUGUUCCAUAGAACUGGUGCUAGUUCAGGGAGUUAUGAUCCAUCUUCUGGUUCACAGACAGAAGAGUUGAAGCCCGAGAACGCUGAGGUGGUGCACGGGAAUCAGUAUUCUUUUCCUUCUGCCAACGCUGGUUACAACUUUGAUGAUGCCCAACGCUUAAAUGCUGCUUUGAGCCAAACAAACCCCCAGAUGCAAAAUCUAGCUCCAUUUUCAAAUGUUAUGCAGUCGUAUACAAAUUCCCUACCAAGCACCUUACCGUCUGUUAAUGGUCACCCUAGUAGAGAAUCAGAUCUUCGAUAUUCUCAAUUUCCAGUGGAGCAAUCAGUGUCUGCUAAAUACGGAAGCUCAGCAAUUUCUAUGUCUGAGGCUUUGAAAACUGCUGGUUACUCAUCGACACAGCCAGCACCACAGACACUUUCUGGAGCUAGUGUUGCAACUGGACCACCUCUUCCUCAACACCUCGCUGUGCACCCAUAUUCUCAGCACACACUUCCUUUGGGCCCGUUCACAAACAUGAUUGGCUACCCUUUCUUGCCACAAAGCUACACAUACGUGCCUUCUGCUUUUCAACAAACUUUCGCCGGUAACAGCACAUACCAUCAAUCCCUAGCGGCACUGCUACCUCAGUACAAGAACAGCAUCUCCGCCGGUAGUUUGCCUCAGUCCGCUGCUAUACCUUCUGGUUACGGUGCUUUCGGAAACACCACAACAGUCCCCGGAAACUUCCAGAUGAACCCACCUGCCGCCCCGACCGGUGCAACUCUGAGUUACGAUGAUGUUUUGAGUUCUCAGUACAAGGACAAUAGCCACUUGGUCUCACUUCAGCAGAAUGAGAAUUCGGCGAUGUGGCUUCAUGGGCCUAAUUCAAGAACGAUGUCAGCGGUGCCAGCUAGCACGUAUUACAAUUAUCAGGGGCAAAGCCAGCAAGGCGGUGGAUUCAGACAAGGUCAGCAGCCAUCUCAGAACUAUGGGGCAUUAGGGUACCCGAAUUUCUACCAUUCUCAAACCGGUAUGUCACUCGAUCAGCAACAGCAGCAGCAGCAGCAGCAGCAGCAACAACAGCAGCAGAAUGCAAGAGAUGGUUCACUUGGAGGCGCACAAGGGCAGCCUAAGCAAUCCCAAAUCUGGCAGAAUAACUACUAAUCUUGUCACCUCCUGGCUUUUUUCAGGGUAUGUAAUGAGUAUGAAGAAAGUGGCGCGCUCUUUUUUUUUUUUUUUUUUUUUUUUUUGUUCGUUUUCCUUUUUUUCACGAAUGGGUUCGACUAGCCACUACCCUGUGCCGCGCCUCGAGGUUGUAUUUUAUGCAUUUAUUUUUUUCGUCAGUUGAUGUAACUUAGGAACACAGGUUCUAAUUUUGUGUUACUAGAGACUAAAAAUUCUUCUUUCUUUUACCACUUUGGACUUUUGAAUUUAUUCCACAACUUCUAGAUAAGCUUGUUCUGUCAGCUUAAUUUAAGUAGAUUGUUAGGUGUUUGUUUGUCCUUCACUUGGAAUCUUUUUUUAUCAUCUUAAUUAUCAGUCGAAAUUUGGAAUUAUUU